UAAAAUAAACUUUUAAAACAUUAGUAAAUGUUACUAAAAAAGGAAAUACUUUUAGCGACAAAAUUAAUUUGUUGCUAAAAAUUUUACCAAUUUGAAUUUCCCUCCUAUUUUUCAUAAAACAAUAUACUAAACAUAUAUUUUUUUAUCUUUCCCAUUUCUCUCUACCUCCUCACGAUAACCCCUCCCAAAAACCCAUCCCCAAUCUUCACCACUCCAUCGACCGGCCACUGCAAACCCAUCCAAAUUUCGUGUAUCGGCCCGCGACCACUGCUAUUUCAACCGACCAGGCACGAACGAUUUGGCCAACGACCCACGCACGAACGGUAUUGACGCGUCCCACCACCAACCAUAUAUCUCAUCGACGAAAUCCCCUUUCUGUCUACAUCUCCACGAAAUUCCAACCCCCAAUCUAAAUCCUCUCCAUCUCCACCUCCAAAGGCUGACCAUAUAUCUCAUCGACUGUGAACAACGGAGCCCCGAAUCUUACGCGCUUCUGAUCGACGAUGAUCCACAUCGUUUCUUAUCCCAAACUGCGUUUCUGUCCACGAAGCCACACAUCCCAAACUCAACUUCUCAUCAAUGGUGAUGAACGUCGUUUUGGCUGGCCUUUUCUACUUAGUUUCUCAAUCACAACGCUUUAAUUUCUGCUAUAUGUUACAAGUUCAGACUCGGCCCUUAUUCUGUUCUGCUUUCUUGUAUGUUUUAGUUUGUAGGUAUCUUAAUCUCUUCAUCUUUGAGUUUGUUCUUGUGUUUAUUUAUAUUUUCUAUUUUCUCUUGUUUGAUAUCUAGAACGAGGGGCAAGAGAAGUCUUAAGAGUUUGAAACACCUGGGCUAUAAUCAGCAACCAUGUAUCAUAUUUGGGUAUUUUGUAUCAUAUGUCAUCUUCCUUCCCAAGCUUUGUUGCUAAGAAUCACAACCUGUCAUCAAAAUAUGAUUUCCAUAGCUACAUGGUUCGUUCUAUGGAAGAAGAAUUCCAGAGAAUAGUUUGUGUGAGGUAAUUAAAGUGUCGGUUACUUUUAAUUUAGGAUCUUUAUAUAUGUGGUAAUUCUGCCCUUUUUUCCUUAAUCAUUGCUAUCAAGUCACAGAAGUUCAGGUUAGGUUACUACUCUUUGUUACCAUAUUGUCACAAGAAGGAAAUUAUCUCCUCUGUUAUUUGUUGGGAUUGUCAUUUUAUAGGGAUCCUCAAACAAAAUAAUUUUUCUUGUGUAAGUUUUAAUUGUUUUCCCUUUGGGUGAAAUAGGAAAACUUUUGAAGGCAUCCAGAAAUUAAUUUUUGUGCUCUUCUUUUUGCUUCUCCA